GAUGAACGCUGGCGGCGUGCCUAAUACAUGCAAGUCGAGCGAACAGACGAGGAGCUUGCUCCUCUGACGUUAGCGGCGGACGGGUGAGUAACACGUGGAUAACCUACCUAUAAGACUGGGAUAACUUCGGGAAACCGGAGCUAAUACCGGAUAAUAUAUUGAACCGCAUGGUUCAAUAGUGAAAGACGGUUUUGCUGUCACUUAUAGAUGGAUCCGCGCCGCAUUAGCUAGUUGGUAAGGUAACGGCUUACCAAGGCAACGAUGCGUAGCCGACCUGAGAGGGUGAUCGGCCACACUGGAACUGAGACACGGUCCAGACUCUACGGGAGGCAGCAGUAGGGAAUCUUCCGCAAUGGGCGAAAGCCUGACGGAGCAACGCCGCGUGAGUGAUGAAGGUCUUCGGAUCGUAAAACUCUGUUAUUAGGGAAGAACAAAUGUGUAAGUAACUAUGCACGUCUUGACGGUACCUAAUCAGAAAGCCACGGCUAACUACGUG
rnacentral:rRNA from 1 species